rnacentral:rRNA from 1 species
UACGUAGGGGGCAAGCGUUGUCCGGAAUCAUUGGGCGUAAAGCGCGUGUAGGCGGCCCGGUAAGUCCGCUGUGAAAGUCGGGGGCUCAACCCUCGAAUGCCGGUGGAUACUGUCGGGCUAGGAGUGCGGGAGAGGCGGAGUGGAAUUCCUGGUGUAGCGGUGAAAUGCGCAGAUAUCAGGAGGAACACCCGGUGGGCGAAGGC